GUUGUUUUUGAGAUAUUCGAUAAAAUUGAAACGACACAGAUAAAAUUAGCUUGGCCUCUGGACAAGUAUGACACGCACAAAUUGAGAAAUGGUCUAAAUUUUU
rnacentral:snRNA from 1 species